rnacentral:rRNA from 1 species
UACGUAGGGUGCGAGCGUUAAUCGGAAUUACUGGGCGUAAAGCGUGCGCAGGCGGCUCGUCGUGUCAGAUGUGAAAGCCCCGGGCUCAACCUGGGAAUGGCAUUGGAAACUGGCGGGCUUGAGUGUGGCAGAGGGGGGUGGAAUUCCGCGUGUAGCAGUGAAAUGCGUAGAGAUGCGGAGGAACACCGAUGGCGAAGGCAGCCCCCUGGGCUGACACUGACGCUCAGGCACGAAAGCGUGGGGAGCAAACAGG